UGGGGAAUUUUGGACAAUGGGGGAAACCCUGAUCCAGCCAUCCCGCGUGUGCGAUGAAGGCCUUCGGGUUGUAAAGCACUUUUGGCAGGAAAGAAACGUCAUGGGUUAAUACCCCGUGAAACUGACGGUACCUGCAGAAUAAGCACCGGCUAACUACGUGCCAGCAGCCGCGGUAAUACGUAGGGUGCAAGCGUUAAUCGGAAUUACUGGGCGUAAAGCGGGCGCAGGCGGUUCGGAAAGAAAGAUGUGAAAUCCCAGAGCUCAACUUUGGAACUGCAUUUUUAACUACCGGGCUAGAGUGUGUCAGAGGGAGGUGGAAUUCCGCGUGUAGCAGUGAAAUGCGUAGAUAUGCGGAGGAACACCGAUGGCGAAGGCAGCCUCCUGGGAUAACACUGACGCUCAUGCACGAAAGCGUGGGGAGCAAACAGG
rnacentral:rRNA from 1 species